rnacentral:tRNA from 1 species
GCCUUUGCGGUGUAAAUAGAAAACACGUUCGACUAGUAAUCGAGAGAACAAGAGUUCGAAUCCUUCCAAGGGAA